rnacentral:rRNA from 1 species
GGAUUAGAUACCCUGGUAGUCCACGCCGUAAACGAUGAGUACUAGCUAUUGGAGGUAUUGACUCCUUCAGUGGCGCAGCUAACGCAUUAAGUACUCCGCCUGGGAAGUACGGUCGCAAGACUAAAACUCAAAGGAAUUGACGGGGGCCCGCACAAGCGGUGGAUUAUGUGGUUUAAUUCGAAGCAACGCGCAGAACCUUACCUAGGCUUGAAAUCCUACGAAUACCGAGUAAUUUUGGUAGUGCCCGCAAGGGAAUGUAGUGACAGGUGCUGCAUGGCUGUCGUCAGCUCGUGCCG